rnacentral:rRNA from 1 species
UACGUAGGGUGCAAGCGUUGUCCGGAAUUAUUGGGCGUAAAGAGCUCGUAGGCGGUCCGUCGCGUCGGCUGUGAAAACUCAGGGCUCAACCCUGAGCCUGCAGUCGAUACGGGCGGACUAGAGUAUGGCAGGGGAGACUGGAAUUCCUGGUGUAGCGGUGAAAUGCGCAGAUAUCAGGAGGAACACCGGUGGCGAAGGCGGGUCUCUGGGCCAUUACUGACGCUGAGGAGCGAAAGCGUGGGGAGCGAACAGG